CGCACAUUGCGCCCCUUGGUAUUCCGGGGGGCAUGCCUGUUCGAGCGUCAUUUCAACCCUCAAGCUAAGCUUGGUCUUGGGCACUGCCGGUUACGGCUUGCCUUAAAAGCAGUGGCGGUGCCAUUCGAGCUCUACGCGUAGUAAAAUCUCUCGCGAUUGAGUCUUGGUGGUUGCUUGCCAGCAACUCUUACAUUUCUAUGGUUGACCUCGGAUCAGGUAGGGAUACCCGCUGAACUUAA
rnacentral:misc_RNA from 1 species